GGGUCAGUGCCAGAGUCAGGCCCACAGCAGCUGCCUGCUCCCCCUUUCAUCUGUCCCCAACCACUUGUGUGCUGUAGCUCUGCUGCUUAAUGCCAGGCAUGGCUCUGGCUACAUUCCCUCCUUCCUGGGUACAAAGAACAUGCAAGCUCUUGCCCCUGCCCAGCCACACCACAGUAUCUUGGGGAAAGAGAUGCUACUGCCACGUGCCUGGAGCUUGCAUGUGCUCUGUGCCCAGGAAGAAAUGGAGCCAAAGCCACACCUGACAGUAAGAAACAAGGGAGGAGGGGAGAACAGGGCCUUAGAUGCUACUAAUACUGCCAUACAGCAUUCUUCAGCAGCAAGGUAGCAGGUCUAUAACACCUGGUGUUGUAGUCUCUGCUUGGCUGACUCAUCUGUACCUGAAUUUUGUACAACUCAACGCCAGAAAGGAAUUUUGUAAAGAAGGGGCCUUCAUGAUGCAAUAUUAUAAGCCACAUCACUGACAGCCAGGCAGUCUUGCACGUUUUCCUGGCAGCUAUUUCUUCAGCAGAGUUAUACGGUACAACCAUUAAGUUAAUCAACACGGCUUAGUUUGUUCACUUUCUGCAUAUCUAAGAUUGAUUCACAAUGAAGUACCCAUCUCUUCAACCAGUGCUGAUAUGAAGGAAACACUGUUUCAAUUUUGGGUGGCCUCCAUGCCAUCAAGUACUAUAUUGUUUCAAGUCACUAAUUGCUGGAAGUUAUAGAACUUUUAUAGUCAAGACUGGCACUUCAUUAGAAGCACAAGGAACUGAUGUGAAAAUAUUUCAGCUUCUAAUA